GUUCAUUCUUGAACGCAUAUUAAAAAUGAAACAAUACAAAGAAGAUUAGCAUGGGCCCUGCGCAAGGAUGACACGCAAAUUCGCGAAGCGGUCCAAAAAAUU
rnacentral:snRNA from 1 species